rnacentral:rRNA from 1 species
AAUGUCUCAAGAUAAGCCAUGCACGUCUAAGUACAAACUAAAUGAUGGUGAAACUGCAAAUGGCUCAUUACAACGGUUAUGAUGUACCCGGGAGUUCCGAUGGAUAUUUCCAGUAACACUAGAACUAAUACAUGUCCCUGCGUUUAUUAGUUUCGCACAGUCCGUCGCUGAGUCAUGGUAAACAGUUGAUCGACUCGACGUCCCGGAACAGUUUCCGCCCCAUCAGCUUCGAUGGUUGGGUAUUGGCCUACCAUUGCAACAACGGGUAACGAGGAAUUAGGGUUUGAUUUCGGAGAGGGAGCCUGAGAAACGGCUACCACAUCUACGGAUGGCAGCAGGCGCGCAAAUUACCCAAUGCAGACACUGUGAGGUAGUGACGAGAAAUAAUAAAGCGGGACUUCUGUUUCGCUAUUAUAAUGAGGAAUAACCAAAGGUCAUUCCGAUUAGCAACUGAUGGGAAAGUCUGGUGCCAGCAGCCGCGGUAAUACCAGCGUCAGUAG